rnacentral:rRNA from 1 species
GACGAACGCUGGCGGCGUGCUUAACACAUGCAAGUCGAACGGAAAGGCCCUGCUUGCAGGGUGCUCGAGUGGCGAACGGGUGAGUAACACGUGGGUGAUCUGCCCCUUACUUUGGGAUAAGCCUGGGAAACGGGGUCUAAUACUGGAUAGGACCAUGCUGUAGGUGGUGUGGUGGGAAGAUUAGUUUCGGUAAGGGAUGAGCUCGCGGCCUAUCAGCUUGUUGGUUGGGUAAUGGCCUACCAAGGCGUCGACGGGUCGCCGGCCUGAGAGGGUGGACGGCCACAUUGGGACUGUGGUACGGCCCAGACUCCUACGGGAGGCCGCGGUGGGGAAUAUUGCACAAUGGGCGCAAGCCUGAUGCAGCGACGCCGCGUGGGGGCUGACGGCCUUCGGGUUGUAAACUCCUUUCAGCCAUGCCGAAGCCCUUGUGGUGACGGUAGUGGUAGAAGAAGCACCGGCUAACUACGUG